rnacentral:rRNA from 1 species
AUACGUGCGUUACAUCCGACCGUCAAAAGUUGCGCGUGUUUCGUCUUACGUAUGCGCAUUUUUACUACUGUUUGGCGUUAAUUUCGGUGCAUUUAUUGGUUGUAUGCGUUGAGAGCUUCGUAAUACAGGCGCACGAAGACGCUCAAUAUGCAGAGGCUUGUCGUGUGAAAUAUCUCGACAAGAGACCUAAUAUGAGCGGUUUUUUUCCGCGUGUCGCUUAUGAAGUUUGCGUUUUUCUUUUUUUCGCGCACAACUGAACACCGUACGUGUAUUUUUUCACUUUCACGAGUGGAAAAAGAUGCGUUCGUCUAAGUGUUCGACGCGCUAAUCGUUAAUACGUGGGAUACGCUAGAUUAGAUGUGUGUUGUUUCACACAUUUCGUCUGACGUGUUUUUUCGUCAUAACGGUGCAAAAAAAUAUUGGCGCUAAAAAAAUUGAGUUGUGUGUCUCGACGUGAACGUCGAUCACCUAUCCGACCCGUCUUGAAACACGGACCAAGGAGUCUAGCGUAUACGCGAGUCAUUGGGUGUGCGAAUGCCUAAAGGCGUAAUGAAAGUGAAUGUCGCGAUUAGCGCGACUAUUAUGCGAUUUGCAAUGUGUUUUCUUUGAUUUCACAUUCUUAAUUCAUUGCAAAGCAGCAUAGUCCCGUCUACGUUACAUUGUAAUGAGGCGGAGAAUGAGCGUAUGCGCUGGGACCCGAAAGAUGGUGAACUAUGCCUGAGCAGGACGAAGCCAGAGGAAACUCUGGUGGAGGUCUCGAAGCGGUUCUGACGUGCAAAUCGAUCG